CCAACACGCACACAUACCGCAUUCUCUACCUGCGUCCGGUCUGUCUUCUUGAAAGGCCCUACCUGGUUCCCAGUGCCUCCCCCUUCUCCGAACUCACAACACUUCCAGAUGCAGACAUUUCACUUAGAAGUUUCGCGCUAUACGCCUGGGGUCAUACAGAACACUUUGAUAAGUACCAAAGUACAAAACGUUAUGGUUUGAAGAUUUAACAGUGGAAUUUCUGGCAACUGCCAGGAGGGA